rnacentral:lncRNA from 1 species
CUCCCGUCAGCAUGGAGUGCCCUCAUUCUCACUGGGGUCCGCUCACUUAACAACCUUUUAGAGCCCACUCUGUGUCAGGCACUGCCGUGUAAUAAGUAUUAGAGUUGCAGCUCGACUUUCUUCCUACGUAUCUAUUUGAGGGGAAAUAUUUUGAAUGGCAUUUGGAGUUUUUACGGAAGAGUUGUUGUACUUGAUAUGGUCGUCUGUAAAGGAUUUGUAGAAGAUUUAGAUGAAUCGUUUAAAGAAAAUCGAAAUGAUGACAUUUGGCUUGUAGAUUUUUAUGCGCCAUGGUGUGGCCAUUGUAAAAAGCUGGAACCAAUUUGGAAUGAAGUUGGUCUUGAGAUGAAAAGCAUUGGUUCUCCAGUUAAGGUUGGAAAGAUGGAUGCUACUUCCUAUUCUAAUUAAAAGGGGACUUGGCAUAUAAUUAUAGAGGACCACGAACAAAAGAUGAUAUUAUUGAGUUUGCUCACAGAGUAUCUGGGGCUCUAAUUCGGCCACUUCCAAGUCAACAAAUGUUUGAACAUAUGCAGAAGAGACACCGUGUAUUUUUCGUUUAUGUAGGUGGAGAAUCACCUUUGAAAG